AGCAGGUGCUGUGAAUCCCGCGCCCAGGCCGCGCGAUCCGGGUGGGCCGCUAUUAAACACGAGGUCCAAAGGGAACCCCGUUAAAAAGACCCUGGAGGAACCUGACUGCCACCCAGUGACGCAAGAAAGAGCUCCUCCUUGCCCACCAUUGGCAACCCAAAUCUCAGUCAUGGUUGUCCCAAAGACAGAUCCUUGUCUGCAUACCUGGUUUUGUUAGGCAAAACAGGCCUUUCAUGAGAACAGCAGAGCUGAGGAGAUCCCUUGUUAAAAAGAUGGAAUGUCGGAGAUGAUCAACUAAUGGACAAUGCACAUUGGGAUUUCUCUAGGUUUCAAUUCUUUUGCUGCCCUUGAGCUGAUUGGGAGGCUUUUCUUAUUUGGUUUAGAUGGAAUUGCAGGACUUUGGGGCAAGAUGGGUUAAUUUGUGUCUGAUGAGAUUAGUCAAAGAGUUUGGCCCUGGUCAUGUCCAAGAAAACAGGAAAGGAAAGGGUACAUUUGAUUUGUUAGAUUUAUUUUCUCCAUUGCAUUUCAUUUAUAUGACAGUUAUACAAGUGUCCGGCAACAUGAUUUUAAACUAUUAAAUGUGAAGAAAUUAA